GCCUGGCACACCUGGGAUGUCCAUGGGGCACGGGGAGCCAGCCCAGCACAAGAGAGGUGCCACGGCGCGUUGCCUGGCUCAGUGUGGGCAGCACAGCGGGCGCUGGGCAUGGGGCUGAUCCUGGAGCAGGACCCUGUGUGUCUGCUGAGAUCAUCGCGCAUGUGUCCCAGGAAGCAGAGUCCUGCCUGUGUCCUGCGUCUGGGGUGGCCCACAGGGCUGGGACGCUGGGAUCCUCCCCCACCCUCUGCUGGCCAGGCCAGCAGGCACGAUGGGCUGCGCAGGAAUGUGGGCGGGGUCUUGCUAAGUUGCUGAGGGUCUCACAAAGCUGCAGAGGCUGGUCUUGAACUUGUGAUCCUCCUGCCUCAGCCUCCUGCAUAGCUGGGCUGCAGGCGUGCGCCACGGCACCCGCCUCAGGUUUUGGGUGAUGUCCGUGGUGGCUGAGGAGGGGAUUAUGGCCAGGGUUGCUCCAGACCAGGGAAACUCGAGCUUCCUGCCCUCACCUCCAGAGUCACCUCAGAGCAGAGCACGCCAGGCCCAGCUGGACAAGCUGCCUCUGGCCUGCGUCCGGGCCUGGCCCGGGACCUCCGCACCCCGCCCGCGUGGACUCCCGGGUUCCUGGGCCGCUCCAAUGCUCCUGGCUCCAGAGCAGCCCGGCGCCUCCCACAGCCUUCGCUGGUGUCGGCUUCCACUGCUGCCCAGGGGCCGGCUCACGUGCCCAGGCCACUCUGAGAUGAGACGGGAUGCUAAGCUGGUGAGGGGGAGUGGCUGAGGGCCGGGUGCCAGCCAACUCCUCUUCCUCAGAACAAAUGGAGGAAGCUUUGCCCAGCGACCUAGCCGGGGCAGGCUCACCCCGCGGGAACCUGGACCAGCAGGAAACGAGAUUCCCCACUCACGGCCCAACCCAAGGAGGCUGGGGGCCUGGCACGGAGGCUGGUUCCCUGCUCUCUGCCCUUGCGGGUACGCAGCACCCAGAGCAUGCCACCUCCCCCAGCCUUCUCCUGGGUCUGUCUGACUGGAAGACCUCAUGGUGACCUUGACCUUGAGGGACUGGGGCCUCCCUGGAGGACUGCCAAGAAAAGCUGGACACACUGAGGCUGAAGGGAAGGACGACGGGUGUUCUGGGGCCCGAGGCCACAGGCCUCCUCCCGACCCUCACCCCAGAGAGCCCAACUGCCCGGAAGGACCCUCAUCCAGGAGGAGGACCAAGGCCAGCCAGGGGCCCCAAGGGCUGGGCAGAGCUCCAGUGGAGUCGGUGGUCUCCUGCCUGCUCUUGGCCACCGGGGGGGGCCACGCCAGGUGUCCAGCUCUCCACUGCUCUAGGUCAGGCCACACUCCCCCGUCCUUCACAAAGACUUCAGAACUAGACCCUGCCCUCAGGGACGUCAGGAAUGUCAGCCUCACCACGGUCCUGGCACUUCCAAGGACCAGCCCCGCUGCCAGCGUUCUCGGGAGAACGACCCGGGUGGGCACAACGGGCUCGUGGGAGAUGACAGCCCGAAGCUGAGCGCAGAGCAAGUGAGAGAAAAUGGAAGCAAAAGCCAGAAAGAGCUGGAGACGAACCCGCCAGCAGCUGGAGCUCCCUGCUGGCCGGGGCCCCUCCGCCCCGCUGGGCUCAGCCAGGGAGGCCCUGGGAGGAGCGAGCCCUAUGGACACCAUGGCCCAAGUUCCCGCUCAUCUCCUCCAAGGCCACAAGGUGGCCACACUCAGGAGCUGGCCAGACCCACACCCUGGCUCAGCCCUGGUCCUGCUCCUCCAGGGGGCCAGGUGACACUCCAGGCUCCCGCCAGUCUCCCCCAAGGAAGGACCUGCUCUGGGCCAGCCCCACCGAGAGCACCCUGAGAAUGAGAAGCCACGACGUCCCCUUCACAGAUGAGGCGACCCAGGCAGAGCGGUCAGGGGCUGGCUUCCCCCAGGAGUUCGAGGCCAGUUCCGCCCCCAGUGCCUCCUGACCCCAGAGCUAGGUGCUCGGGCCCAGGCGCCCCUCCCAGAGUCACUCCCGAGCGCCCUGGCUCAGGUGCACAGGCAGACUUACCAGAGACGGUGACCACGAUGUACUGCUGGGACGCGGGGGACGGGGUGGGCGCGCC